UUGAAAGGGAAACGAUUGAAGUAGUGUGUGGGGAAAUAANUUUNUUGAGAUAAUGGGGUGGGGAGUUAAAAGUNAGAAGGUGAAUUUNGGUGAAAUGGAGGAAUUUGUGUUGUGGUUAAAUAAUUUGAAGUAUAAAAAGGUGGAGGGAUGUGGUNUUGGGAGUGUUAUAANUUUAGGGAAUGUGGUGGNGGGAUUGAGGAUUGAAGAAUAAUUUAGGGUGUUAAAUGGGUUUAUUGGUAUNUGGUGAGAANUGNGANGUUGUUAGGAUUGNUUGAAAGGUAGAGUGUGAGAAAUUCGUUAAGGAUGUUGACGUA
rnacentral:rRNA from 1 species